CCUACGGGGGGCAGCAGUGGGGAAUAUUGCGCAAUGGGCGAAAGCCUGACGCAGCGACGCCGCGUGAGGGAUGAAGGUCUUCGGAUCGUAAACCUCUGUCAGCAGGGAAGAACGGUCACUGUGCUAAUCAGCAGUGAAUUGACGGUACCUGCAAAGGAAGCACCGGCUAACUCCGUGCCAGCAGCCGCGGUAAUACGGAGGGUGCGAGCGUUAAUCGGAAUUACUGGGCGUAAAGCGCUCGUAGGCGGUAUGUCAAGUCAAGGGUGAAAUCCCCGCGCUCAACGUGGGAACUGCCUUUGAAACUGGCAAACUGGAGUGUGUGAGAGGAUAGUGGAAUUCCAGGUGUAGGAGUGAAAUGCGUAGAUAUAUGGAGGAACAUCAGUGGCGAAGGCGACUAUCUGGCACAUAACUGACGCUGAGGAGCGAAAGCGUGGGUAGCAAACAGGAUUAGAUACCCUUGUAGUC
rnacentral:rRNA from 1 species